CCUACGGGGGACAGCAGUCGAGAAUCUUUCACAAUGGGGGCAACCCUGAUGGUGCGAUGCCGCGUGGGGGAAUGAAGGUCUUCGGUUUGUACACACCUGUCAUGUGGGAGCAAAUUAUAAAGAUAGUACCCCCAGAGGAAGAGACGGCUAACUCUGUGCCAGCAGCCGCGGUCAUACAGAGGGCGCAAGCGGUGUUCGGAAUCACUGGGCGUAAUGCGUGUGGAGGCGGUUUAGCAAGUCGUGUGUGAAAGGUGCGGGCUCAACCCGCGGACGGCACAGGAAACUGGGAGCCUAGAGUAAUGGAGGGGGAGCCGGAAUGCUCGGUGUAGCGGUGAAAUGCGUAGAGAUCGAGAGGAACACUCGUGGCGAAGGCGGGUUCCUGGACAUAAACUGACGCUGAGGUACGAAAGCGAGGGGAGCGAACGGGAUUAGAUACCCGAGUAGUC
rnacentral:rRNA from 1 species